rnacentral:rRNA from 1 species
CCCGUAGGCGGUCAACUAAGUCAGACGUGAAAUCCCUCGGCUUAACCGGGGAACUGCGUCUGAUACUGGAUGGCUUGAGUUUGGGAGAGGGAUGCGGAAUUCCAGGUGUAGCGGUGAAAUGCGUAGAUAUCUGGAGGAACACCGGUGGCGAAGGCGGCAUCCUGAACCAACACUGACGCUGAGGAGCGAAAGCCAGGGGAGCAAACGGGAUUAAAUACCCCGGUAGUCCUGGCCCUAAACGAUGAAUGCUUGGUGUGGCGGGUAUCGAUCCCUGCCGUGCCGAAGCUAACGCAUUAAGCAUUCCGCCUGGGGAGUACGGUCGCAAGGCUGAA